rnacentral:rRNA from 1 species
GACGAACGCUGGCGGCGUGCCUAAUACAUGCAAGUAGGACGCAGUUGCGAACGGGUGAGUAACGCGUAGGUAACUACCUAUUAGAGGGGGAUAACUAUUGGAAACGAUAGCUAAUACCGCAUACUAGUAGAUGGACCUGCGUUGUAUUAGCUAGUAGGUAGGGUAAUGGCCUACCUAGGCCACGAUACAUACCCGAGCUGAGAGGGUGAGCGGACACGCCUGGACCGGGACACGGCCCAGAAUCCGACGGGAGGCAGCCGUAGGGAAUCUUCGGAAAUGGGGGGAACCCUGACCGAGCAACGCCGCGUGAGUGAAGAAGGUUUUCGGAUCGUAAAGCGCUGUUGUUAAGGAAGCGGUACUUAACAAGAAAGGGACGGCUAACUACGUGCCAGCAGCCGCGGUAAUAC